rnacentral:rRNA from 1 species
CCUACGGGAGGCAGCAGUAGGGAAUGUUCGGCAAUGGGGGGAACCCUGACCGAGCAACGCCGCGUGAAAGAAGAAGGUAUUCGAAAUGUAAAGUUCUUUUAACAGGGAAGAAAGAGAAAGUGGACGGUACCUGAAGAAUAAGCUCCGGCUAACGUCGUGCCAGCAGCCGCGGAAAUACGUAGGGAGCGAGCGUGAUCCGGAAUGAUGGGGCGUAAAGGGUGCGUCGAGGGCAUAGGAAGUCUUUUGUAAAAAUGCUGGGCUCAACCCAGUAGGGCAAAAGAUACUGCAAAGCUAGAGUAUGCCUGAGUCAAGUGGCCCUACCUGUGUAGCGGU